rnacentral:rRNA from 1 species
GAAGCGGCCACACCCGGCUGGCAACAUCCAGCUCCACUCCGAACCUGGAAAUUAAGCAGUCGCGGGCCACAUCAGUACUGGGCUGGGCGACUUCCCGGGAACGUGCGGUGCUUGCUUCUUUUUCCUUUUUGCGCGGUGCAGGGCUAUUGCCCUGCACCAAUACUACACUCUACACCUAUGUUUGUCCCUGCUAAAACUCUUAUAUGUUGAGAUAUUUAUAAUUUUAUAUUUUUUAUUAAAAAAUGAAAAUUUUUCAUAAGCGAGACUCCCUCCGCUGGAGGAAAUUGAGAGUGGUAAUGGUAGUGUGAAUAGUGUGUGACGAACAAUCCUUUC